rnacentral:rRNA from 1 species
GAGACUCUGUGCGCGUGCAUAUCGAUAAGCGGAGGAAAAGAAACUAACAAGGAUUCCCCUAGUAACGGCGAGUGAAGCGGGAAGAGCUCAAAUUUGAAAUCUUAAAGGGUUUCCCUUUACGAAUUGUAGUUUAAAGAAGUGUUUUCUGUUGGAGUUUCGGUAAAAGUUCUUUGGAAUAGGACAUCAUAGAGGGUGAGAAUCCCGUAUUUGACCGUUACUUUCCAGCUGUGUGAUACACUUUCAAAGAGUCGGAUUGUUUGGGAAUGCAGUCCAAAAUGGGUGGUAAAUUUCAUCUAAAGCUAAAUAUUGGCGAGAGACCGAUAGCGAACAAGUACCGUGAGGGAAAGAUGAAAAGAACUUUGAAAAGAGAGUUAAACAGUACGUGAAAUUGUCAAAAGGGAAGCGUUUGACACCAGUGUUGUUUAGUUGAAAAUCAAUUCAAUAGUUUUUGAUUCUAAGUAGUAUUGACUUCAUCAGCUUGCUGCUUUCUUCUCAGAAAUUAUUGAAUGCACUUUUCAGUUAACAAGUCAACAUCAAUUUCUUUUGUUGUAAAAGGGUAAGAGGAAGGUGGCUUGCGCUUCGGCUCAAGUGUUUAUAGCCUUUUAUCUCUGCAAUCGGAGAGAUUGAGGUCUGCAGCGUAGAUCCUUCGGGGUUAGAUACAUUGGUGCUAAGCUAUAGCCUUGUAUAGACAACUUGUUGACUAUGCUCAGUCAUGUAGCUUACUCGCUGAUGCUAUUUUACCUACGCUUAGGAUGUUGAAGAUGUAGCACAUCAU